rnacentral:rRNA from 1 species
AUUGAACGCUGGCGGCAUGCCUUACAUACGCAAGUCGAACGGUAACAGGUCUUCGGAUGCUGACGAGUGGCGAACGGGUGAGUAAUACAUCGGAACGUGCCUAGUAGUGGGGGAUAACUACUCGAAAGAGUGGCUAUUACCGCAUGAGAUCUACGGAUGAAAGCAGGGGAUCGCAGGACCUUGUGCUACUAGAGCGGCCGAUGGCAGAUUAGGUAGUUGGUGGGAUAAAAGCUUACCAAGCCGACGAUCUGUAGCUGGUCUGAGAGGACGAUCGGCCGCACUGGGACUGAGACACGGCCCAGACUCCUACGGGAGGCAGCAGUGGGGAAUUUUGGACAAUGGGCGCAAGCCUGAUUCAGCAAUGCCGCGUGCAGGAUGAAGGCCUUCGGGUUGUAAACUGCUUUUGUACGGAACGAAAAGCCCUGGGUUAAUACCCUGGGGUCAUGACGGUACCGUAAGAAUAAGCACCGGCUAACUACGUGCCAGCCGCCGCGGUAA